UAUUUUUUUGUCAACCCCCCCGUGCACGCUUCAGAUUAAGCGGCGGCGCUCUCGAUCCGAUCGAGAUGCAGGACGACGGCGGCAGGGCUCGGGGAACAGUGGGGAAGUGGCGGACGUCGAGGCGAGGUGGCCCAGGUCGGGAUCCAAUGCGGCGGCGCGGAGGCCGGCAGCGGCAACGCUCCAUGGCCAUGGCUGCUCGGUCUCCUGGGAAGAAGAGAGGAGGGAGAGAGGAGGUGAGAUGGAGAGAAGAGAAGGCAGAGUAGGGACGGCGCGGCUUCCUGCUGCUGGUCCGGCGAUGGCUCCAGGUUUGAUUUUCGGAUUCCUCUCCUUCCCGCUGCACGAUGGGGGUUGCCCAGCCGCCACUCUCCCUACCCCGUGCACCUCCUCCCCCUAGCCGCACCUCCCUGCUUCCAUGAAGAUGCCGUCGCCCUCGCCUGCAUCUCGCUGUUGUUUUGUUGUCCAUGGAUAAGGAGCGACAGAUUUGACAGAAAAUAGAAGAGAAAAUUUUCUAGCGUAAAAGGAGAGGAUCUCAGAAUGAAGGGAUUUUUUAGCUGUAUUUAACGGACAAUUUUGUGUGAUUUUUUCAGAAUUUAUAGCCAAAGUCUAUUUGAUUUGUGCAAUGAAAAUCAGAUCCAUCCAUUGAUUGAUAGAAUUUACCAUCCUUCUUCAUUUUGAGAGGUCAAUCUGCGUUGUUAUCUAUUCAUUGGUGGUGCUUUGCAAAAGAGAGAGCAGGAGGCAAUGACGCCGUUGUCAACAGCACGGUGCAGCGAGGUAGGAAGCCGUGUGCAAGGGAUGAAACUGGCAGUGGUGCGCCAUGACAGGCCCCAGCAGAAUUUUGUAUAUGAGGCUUUGCUGUCUGGAUCUAUAUAUAUAUAUAUGUACAUUUUGCAGGUCAAUGCCCUUACUUACCUUAAAGUUGAAGGUAAAUCUUCAGAAACAACUAUUUUUAGGGUUGGUUCAGUCCGAAACCAAUCUGAAUUUUGUAACAAGGUUCAACAUUGCUCUCUAAAUCUAGAUAUUGUGCAGACCAGUGUCAUUAUUAAGUAGCUUAAAGUUGUAGAUAAAUCUUCAGAAACAACAAUUUUCUUUAAUCAGUACAUAAAACAAUGCUAAUUGUUGGUUAUUCAAGGAGUAGGAGCUUGAGGAAUAUGCAGAGAAGGCCAUGCCGUACGUUGCCUGACACAACAACUAGGAACAAGAGCAAAGCUGGACAACGAUCGGCCCAGCAACCACCGGCAUGAUAUCUACACACACCUACAGUUUGUGGCAAACUAAAUAUGUUUUUUGGUGGAAUCAUUAGCCAUUGCUUGAGUUUUGAUGACACAUGCAUUCUCUUUGCCCAAUGUAAGGAGACCACUCUUGCAUACAUGAUGCUCUUGUACUUGUUUCUCUGAGAUGCAUUGCUCUCAUCUACCAGACUGCAUUUCAGCUUGGCAAGCCCACCUCCAAUCCAAACAACUUUGUGUUCAUGAGCCGUGGCAUGGUAGAGUGAUGCAGCCUUUUACGGAUUUCUGGAACUGUUAAUUCCAGUGCCUUCUGAAUUUUGGUCUUGGGAGUUGAAGCGGAUUUGAUUUUGGCAUUACAUUAGUGCGCUUUUCUUUUGCGAAUAUAUUUUCAGCAGUCAAACCGCCUGUUGUGAAUUGAUUUUCAUUGUCAAGCUUGCAGGUGAAUCAGGAUCUGCAUGCUACGGUCUUGCUGGUGCUAGCGGGAGCUCACGGGCGAUCUCCCAGUCUACCGCCCCGACGAACAGGAGACGCAGCUCUCUCGCUGGGAGACCGGCACGGUCAACCCCAUUGGCGAUAUGUUCCCGGCCUGGAUCAAUCGGUCCACGCACAACUGGAGCAAGCAGGUUGAUGGAUUUUGAUAAGGAUGUUAGCUUGAAAGUUGCAACGUACAAAGCUUGCUAUUAAGUGUUGUCCCGUUGCCUUUCACGGACACACGUAUGGAUCCGCUAGGCAGGCUAGAUGCCGAUCUCCACAAGCCUAGAGUUGCUGGACUUCCGUCCUCCCACAUCAAACUUCAUGCAUAACCUUCGUCCAUCCGCAGAGAAGGUGCCGACUGCAUUGUUCGCUAGAUGGCAGCCUCAGCGUGACUAGGAGCCUAUGACUCCAAUGGUUCAAUUAAGCUUCUACUUUUAACCAUCCCACGCAUGACAGGAAGCAAUUCUUUUUUCUUUGUUCAGAGUUUCUUAAAAGGUAUGUAUGCAUUUCAAUCAAAAAUAUUUACUGAUUUAGUCUAAUGACUACUGAGGAAGUAUGUGACAGGGAUGCUUCCCCACUUACCCCGGGAUCGUAAAUGCUGAUUACAAUUGAAGAUCUGCAUAUGUGUGAUUGGGAUUUUAUGUGAAUAUAUAUGAAGCUACUAGGGAGUUUGUGUCUACUGGACCGUGCAUGCAGUAUUUAAUACCCACUGCUUUAGAUGUUGAAUAUAUUUUUACUAUAGUUAUUGGAACUAAUUUUCUUACUUGUAUGACAGAAAUUGAAACUGCUACUUGUAUGUAAGAAAUUGUACGAUUUUAGUACUAUCAGUGAUCUAAUACAUGCCCCACAGAGUCUGACGACGGUGGUGAGGGCACAACCAGCUGCUUCCUACAGUUCAAUAGGCAAUCAAAUCAGGAUAUUUAUACAUCAUGUUGAGUCUGAUGAGGUCUCGGACGUGUGGCUUCUCCUUAAUUUUUGACGCCACCAGCUCCUGGAGGGGAGGCCAGAAGGCGGGCCGGCCGGCAGCGGCAUUCUGUUCGGGGAUGCGUGGAUCUGGUGAUGCUAGUGCAGGGGAACGGGAAACAUCACCUCCGCCAAGGAAUUUCACAUAGCCAAUUUACCUUUCUCCCUAAAGAUUUUUUACUCUGCUAUCAGUACCACUGGUCUUGGGGUUUAGAUUUUGUCAAUAUCAAAAUUUGGGUACUUGCCAGCAAACGAGUUGUUGAUCUAUUUACUUAGUCAAGUUCAUUUCUGCUAUGUUAUGUCAGUUAAGCUUCAGAUUCUAGCCUUGAUUAAAUGGCAAUGAUAUUCUCCAAAACCUACUGAUGUCAGAAAUCCUGCUACCCAACAGGAUGGUUUGCCAACUAAUGUGAUCAAAACAUUCCUGCUUUAGAUAGAAGAACUUAUUUCCUGUUA